CCAGAGAACUUAGCAGAGAUUGCUUUGGUGCCUUCGGGAACUCUGAGACAGGUGCUGCAUGGCUGUCGUCAGCUCGUGUUGUGAAAUGUUGGGUUAAGUCCCGCAACGAGCGCAACCCUUAUCCUUUGUUGCCAGCGGCUCGGCCGGGAACUCAAAGGAGACUGCCGGUGAUAAACCGGAGGAAGGUGGGGAUGACGUCAAGUCAUCAUGGCCCUUACGGCCAGGGCUACACACGUGCUACAAUGGCGCAUACAAAGAGAAGCGACCUCGCGAGAGCAAGCGGACCUCACAAAGUGCGUCGUAGUCCGGAUUGGAGUCUGCAACUCGACUCCAUGAAGUCGGAAUCGCUAGUAAUCGUAGAUCAGAAUGCUACGGUGAAUACGUUCCCGGGCCUUGUACACACCGCCCGUCACACCAUGGGAGUGGGUUGCAAAAGAAGUAGGUAGCUUAACCUUCGGGAGGGCGCUUACCACUUUGUGAUUCAUGACUGGGGUGAAGUCGUAACAAGGUAGGCGUAGCGAG
rnacentral:rRNA from 1 species